GCACUGCUGAGGAGUCCCAUAAUAAGACGAAAUAGACGUCCAGUGC
rfam:Schistosoma rodhaini strain Burundi genome assembly, scaffold: SROB_scaffold0000049